rnacentral:rRNA from 1 species
AGCGAACGCUGGCGGCAGGCUUAACACAUGCAAGUCGAGCGGGCACUUUCGGGUGUCAGCGGCGGACGGGUGAGUAACGCGUGGGAACGUGCCCUCUGGUUCGGAAUAACUCAGGGAAACUUGAGCUAAUACCGGAUACGCCCUUUUGGGGAAAGGCUUGCUGCCGGAGGAUCGGCCCGCGUCUGAUUAGCUAGUUGGUGAGGUAACGGCUCACCAAGGCGACGAUCAGUAGCUGGUCUGAGAGGAUGAUCAGCCACACUGGGACUGAGGCACGGCCCAGACUCCUACGGGAGGCAGCAGUGGGGAAUAUUGGACAAUGGGCGCAAGCCUGAUCCAGCCAUGCCGCGUGAGUGAUGAAGGCCUUAGGGUUGUAAAGCUCUUUUAUCCGGGACGAUAAUGACGGUACCGGAGGAAUAAGCCCCGGCUAACUUCGUG